UAUCAAUUAUUGGGAGUGGACCACCUUCACCCUGACUGAAUUGGCCUUGUCAACACUGGUUCUCCAACAAGCAUCGAUUGCCGCAGCGUCAAUCUUCCUCAGUGGCACUCUGGUGAAGACCUGCUAAGUCGACCGCCAAUUGCUCUCCCGUUGACUCCUGUACUCCAUCUGAUCGAGAAGAAUAAGGGGAGUGUCUCCUGUCGACGUCAAGUAGUGUGGACCCUGCAAACUGCCACUUCCAGGAGACAAAUGGUCCAGAUCUCGGAGUGCUGAAGAGUGAAUUGUGUGAGAAGAGAAACUGACUAGCAUGUAUGCUCUAGUUCUGGGCACGAAACCAGAAGAUGAAUUACAAACUGAGAACCUUUGCCUUAGAAUCACGUCAGCCUUAGAGUACUAAGGACACGAGGACCAGACAAAA